rnacentral:rRNA from 1 species
UACGGGGGGGGCAAGCGUUGUUCGGAAUUACUGGGCGUAAAGGGCUCGUAGGCGGCCAACUAAGUCGGACGUGAAAUCCCUCGGCUUAACCGGGGAACUGCGUCCGAUACUGGAUGGCUUGAGUAUGGGAGAGGGAUGCGGAAUUCCAGGUGUAGCGGUGAAAUGCGUAGAUAUCUGGAGGAACACCGGUGGCGAAGGCGGCAUCCUGGACCAUUACUGACGCUGAGGAGCGAAAGCCAGGGGAGCGAACAGG